AACAAACGCUGGCGGCGUGCCUAACACAUGCAAGUCGUACGAGAAAGUCGGCUUCGGCCGAUGAGUACAGUGGCGCACGGGUGAGUAGCGCGUGGGUAAUCUGCCCCCCGGUCAGGAAUAACCCGCCGAAAGGCGGGCUAAUACCCGAUAACACUGACGCUCCGCGGAGCGUCUUUCAAAGAAGGCCUCUGUUUACAAGCUUUCGCCGGAGGAUGAGCCCGCGUACCAUUAGCUAGUUGGCAGGGUAAUGGCCUACCAGGGCUACGAUGGUUAGCUGGUCUGAGAGGAUGGCCAGCCACACUGGAACUGAGACACGGUCCAGACUCCUACGGGAGGCAGCAGUGAGGAAUCUUGCGCAAUGGGGGAAACCCUGACGCAGCAACGCCGCGUGAGUGAGGAAGGCCUUCGGGUCGUAAAGCUCUGUCAGAUGGAAGAAAUGGAUGGGGCUAAUAUCGCCCAUCCUUGACGGUACCAUCAGAGGAAGCACCGGCUAACUCCG
rnacentral:rRNA from 1 species